GGCUGCAGUCGAAGUCUCUCCAACGCAUCGUCACAGACAUAGAAGAUUGAGGCCACCGCCUCGCCGAGGUUUUCGAAGACAACGCCAAUGCUACCGUCAACUGCAACCUCAUCGGCGACAAACUCUGAUAUUGUUUGCGACUUUUUCACUUCUUGGCUUGCGUUCAACUUGUCGAUUCAGAACCCUAAUUAAACAAAUAUUCAGGUUGGUUCAGGCGGAGCUAGUGACAAGUGUAACAACAGCAGAAAUGGACGAAGUUGUCAACAAGUGUCAAGACAAAGAAUCUAUGAUGGAAGGCUCGUUCGUAUUAAGCACUAUAGGAGACGAUCUUCAAAGCCUCCUGAUAUU